UAUUGGAGGCUGCGCCUUGCCUAACAAAUUCGGAUGCCACAAGAACUACCAGAGGCGUAUCGUGGAAGAGGCAACACGUGUUAUGCACUGUAUAGCAAACAGACUGAAGUUAGCUCAGCAACACAUCGACAGUGCUGUAAUGUUCUAUAAGAUGGCUUUAAGUAAGCGAAUAUUACAAGGAAAGAGAAAGUCGCACGUGUGCGCGGCGUGUCUAUACAUUGUGUGUCGGACUGAACAUACUCCACAUAUUCUACUGGAUUUCAGUGAAA